rnacentral:rRNA from 1 species
GUAGGGGGCGAGCGUUGCCCGGAUUUAUUGGGCGUAAAGCGCGCGCAGGCGGUCCGUUACGUCCGUUGUGAAAGCUCCCGGCUCAACUGGGAGAGGUCUUCGGAUACGGGCGGACUCGAGGGAGGCAGAGGAAGGUGGAAUUCCCGGUGUAGUGGUGAAAUGCGUAGAGAUCGGGAGGAACACCAGUGGCGAAGGCGGCCUUCUGGGCCUUUCCUGACGCUGAGGCGCGAAAGCGUGGGGAGCGAACCGGAUUAGAUACCCGGGUAGUCCACGCCGUAAACGAUGCUCACUAGAUGUGGGGGGUAUCGACCCCCUCCGCGUCGAAGCUAACGCAUUAAGUGAGCCGCCUGGGGAGUACGGCCGCAAGGCUAAA